GUCUGCCUCUCCCCCACUCUCUCUCUCUCUAAAUAAAUAAACGUUAAAAAAAAAAUAUUUAAAAACAUGAUCAGUUCCUCUGCAGAGUGAUGGAGCCGACAGGGUCCUACUGGAGAGUGACUCUUCUUGCCUCCCCCAAGCUUUUGAGCAGAAUUGUUGGAAGCAGGCGACUUACCCAGUCUUCCUGGAGAGGGUCCCUGAUAGGGUGGGUCUCCUCUUUCCAAAUAGUUCUGCUGAGGUGAGUCUGAGCCAGCCCUUGACCUUCUCCUCUCUGACCUUUCCCACCCAAGGUGAGAGAACUUACAAAGAUCUGGGCCGACUGUAAUGAAGGGCAGGAGCAAGUGCUCUAGCUAUCAGGGUACCAGGGUUUCAGUGCCAGCACCAUCUCAAGGUUGCUGUGUGACCUUGGCCAUGUCAUUAUUCAUUGAUUCAUUCACUGUCCACAAAGCAUUGACAGGAGGGGGGGAUGGAUGAGACCAAAGCUAUGAACAGACAGUUACCCCAAACUUAAAACAGCUACGCCUCACACGGGGCCCCACACAUAAGUGUUCCAUGAAUUUUUGCUGAAGAAAUAAAUGAUAUGACUUAAUCACAGCACACUAGGGCGGGGACUUUUUGUCACUGAUGUGUCUCAGGUGCCUACAACAGUGCCAGACACACAGUGGGCGGGCACACAGGGCCAGAGGGGAGGAUGAUGGAGACAGAGAGAUGAGCCUGUGCCAAAGUACAGAGCCCUCGCUUUUUCCGUUUCCGGUUUUUUAAGUGGUCCGCCAGAGUUGGGAGGCAGCAGCCCCUGGGUUACUUUGAGUUAGGGUUGCUGCUUUUGGUGUAGAAGACGGGAACCGCCUGUGUGCCGACAUUUUGGAGAAGUGGUCGGAGUUGUGAACAGUCAAGUGGAAGAGAAGGAGGUGACUUGUACAAAGAAAGACUGACAGUAAGUAUAAAUAUUUGGAUUAUGGCAAGAUGAGCUUCCUGUUGCCCAAGCUAACUAGCAAAAAAGAAGUAGACCAAGCAAUAAAAAGUACUGCAGAGAAGGUAUUGGUUCUCCGAUUUGGGAGAGAUGAGGAUCCUGUCUGUCUGCAGCUAGAUGAUAUUCUUUCUAGGACGUCUUCUGACCUGAGUAAAAUGGCUGCUAUGUAUCUGGUAGAUGUGGACCGAACUCCCGUUUACACGCACUAUUUUGACAUCAGUUAUAUUCCAUCUACUGUGUUCUUCUUCAAUGGGCAGCACAUGAAAGUGGAUUAUGGUUUUUAGAAUAUAGAUGUAAGAUCUUCAUUGGUCUCUACUAGCUCUAACCUGUUGAAAAGUGUGGAUGGAUCUAGAGAGUACACCUGAGGACAACUUGACAGUGAAGGGCAGACCCUGGUGCGAGAAUACUGACAUCAGCAUUUUAUACCAUGAGAAGGAGAGGCCAUAUUUUCAUAGGACACAAAGGUACAUUAAUGAAAGGUCAGUGUACUGAAGGCUUAAACAGCAGGAAGGAAUAGAAGAAGUUAGAAGAAGAGCCUUCUGUUUACAGGGGUUCUGAAACCUUUCUUCUGGGAGACCCUUAAUAGCAAGACCCUGUCUUUGUGAAAGGGAAGACUCAGGUGGCUUUCAUUUGGCUCCCAGUAAAGGAUAGGUUUCUUCCAACUGGGAAAAGCAUACCCUAUUGAGGAAGAGACUUGUAACUCUUUACCAAGUUCCAGAAUGUUCGUAGGGAUGUUAGGGAUCAGUUGUUUUAAGCCCCUCUGGAAGGAAACCAGGGACUGAUGGCAGGGAACUGAAGGCACUUGGCAAACAUGUGGCCACACUAUGAUCUGGACUCAGCAAGUCCAGAAGUCCUGCCUUUACCCCAUCUUACUUUGUUUUCUGAAGUGCUGGUGUGUUGGAGCACAAAUAAUAAAAUACUGCCUGUGCCAAAACCCUUGUUUUCAUCCCACGUUGAGCUAGCCUCUUCCUCAUCAGCCCACACUCUUUCCCCUAACACACGUCAAAGAAGAGGAUGCAGUGUAGAGAGCUGAAGUUCAUAUCCAGACAGACCUGGGUUCAAAGUGAAUUCAGCCUCACUAUCUAAUAGCUGUAUGGCCUUAAACAAAUCACUUAACUUCUCCAAGUCUGUUUUCUUGUCUAUGAAACCAGGGUAACAGUGACCUUUCUAAGGCCUGCUGUUUGGUAGACACUCAGUCAAUGAGUAUGAUCCCCAGGGUGGGAAAGUUUGUUUCAUCUUAUGGAUUUUGAGUUGGCUUGGGGUGUUUUCUGCCACACUCAUAGUAGACUCUAUACCACUUAGCUGCUGCUGUACCAUAAAUGAGAGAAUAAAAAAGGCCUAAGGCUAAAAACAGCACACACACACACACAAAAAAAGUACAGAGCCCUCAGUGUCCUCACCCACCUGCAUCUUGAUUCCAUCCGGUAAGAAAAAAAAGGAUAGGGUUGGCCCUGUAGUCACUCAGAUUCUUCUAGUACUAAACUCUCUGAUCCUAGAAGUGAAUACAGUUACCCAGGUUAGGGCCUGACCAGUGCUGAGCAGCUUUGCAUUCUGGGAGAUCUGGGUUUUGAGUUUGGCUCAUCCCAACUUCAGAAUAAAGGCUCGGCAAUCUUAGACACCUCUUUUCCACCCUGUCACUCUGCCUUUCACUUUGGAAGUCCCUCUCGCAUCCCCAUACAAUCAAUUGCACCAUGAAAGUCAGCACUUAUUUGUAUAUUGCCAUAAUUUUUCUUUGUAUUAAUUUUAUUUUUGCAAUAAAGCCUUUGUUAAUUACAGGUUUUUUAACUAACACAGGUUAAUUGUGGUCAAACCAGAAAAGUAUCACAGAAGAAAAUAAAAAUCACCUGUACUUUCACUACCUGAUAUGUUUUCCUUGUAGAUUUGUUAUGCCUUCAUUAAAAUCUACUUACAUGUGAGCUCAUAAAACACACUGUCCCAGAUGGCUGCCCUGUGAGUCUUAGGUUCCCAACAAAGCAUGAACUGGGGGCAGUCCUCUCUUAUCCUCCAUUAGUUGUGUCUCUGAUUGGAAGACAUGUUGUCUGGGACCCCAAAACUCCAAUUCUUUAGCCAGCUGUAGAUCAUCAUGCUAAGACCUCAAAGGACUCAGAGGACUUUUCAUUUGGAAGCGUGGCUCUGGACCCAAAGCCCUAUGUGGCUUGCUCACCCUGUCUAGAGUUGGGCUACAUUAUGUGGGAAGCACCAGGCCUUGCUCCAGACCAGAGACAGCACUGAGCAGCUUUCUGGGGGACCUGGCGAGAGGCUGCUUAGAAACGUACUUCCCCACCUGCCUGAAGGGCCCCCCCAAAUAAACCCAUAACCCUAGCUUGCUCAGUUUCCUCUUGCCCCUCUAAUGAAAAGCUCUAUCCCCAGAACACUGGUCCCUUUUUGUGGCCUGGUUCCUUGCUAUUCAGUGUGUGAUCCAUCGGCCAGCAACAUAGAAAACAAGAUCUCUAGAUGAUGGGUUUUUUUUUAAGUUUUUAUUUAUUUACUUAGAGAGAGAGAGAGAGAGAGAGAGAGAGAGAGAGAGAGAGAGAAAAUCCCAAGCAGUCUCCACACCACCAGCAUGGAGCUUUAUUUGAGGCUUGGACCCAUGAACCAUGAGACCAUGACCUGAGCCAAAAUCUAGAGUCAGAUAUUCAACCAACUGAGCCAACCAGGCGCCCCUAGAUGAUGGUUUGCAUGUUAAAGUUUAAGAAGCAAGGUGCAAACUCUAUUUAAGAAGGUCUUAGGUGGAAUCUGAAAUUCUUCAUUUUCUAACACGCUCCCAAGUAAUAGGGAUACAGCUUGUUUACAGAGCACACUCUGAGUAGCAAACAUAUAGGAGCCUCUUUUGCCCUCCCUUAUGCUUCCUGAAGGCGAAGGGGCAGGAGAGCCCUAGAGGCUCUCUCCCUAGAGGUUAGAAUGUGUACACACACACACACAUACACACACACACACACAGUUGAGGGCUAUGUCGUGGGUGUCAAAUAAAUGUUUGAUGAGUGAAUACAUGAAGUUGAGGAGUAAGAAGACCUAAAGCUACACUCGCAUUCUUCCAAUACUUGCCCAUUUCAGUGGCAAUAUCAUCAGCUUCUGACUCACCAGAUGGAAUUGGUUCCAUUUUUGGAGCCAUUUUUGCCCUGGCUCUGUCUUUUCCUUUCUCACUGCUUCUAUUCUCAUUCAGAUAAUUCUCAUCUAUCCUCUACCUUCCUGCCUCUGGUCCCUUUCCCCUCUAGUUUACUAACAAAACUCUACAGCUACACACUAGACCUCAAAGACAUAUUUCCAGAAUCUUUCUUUUCCACUCCAAACCUGCUUUUGCUACCUUGGUGUCUCUGGUUCUUGGAAACCAUAUCUGCUUUUCCCAAUGUCCCCAGCUCUAUUACAGCCUGAUGUUUAGCUUCAUGCCCACUUUCAUCCUAGACGCUGCUCUAUGACUUGACCUGAACUGUCGUGCCCUUGCACCCAACAGCUUUUGUAUUCCAACCUAUU